rnacentral:rRNA from 1 species
GAUGAACGCUGGCGGCGUGACUAAUACAUGCAAGUCGAGCGAACGGACGAGAAGCUUGCUUCUCUGAUGUUAGCGGCGGACGGGUGAGUAACACGUGGAUAACCUACCUAUAAGACUGGGAUAACUUCGGGAAACCGGAGCUAAUACCGGAUAAUAUUUUGAACCGCAUGGUUCAAAAGUGAAAGACGGUCUUGCUGUCACUUAUAGCUGGAUCCGCGCUGCAUUAGCUAGUUGGUAAGGUAACGGCUUACCAAGGCAACGAUGCAUAGCCGACCUGAGAGGGUGAUCGGCCACACUGGAACUGAGACACGGUCCAGACUCCUACGGGAGGCAGCAGUAGGGAAUCUUCCGCAAUGGGCGAAAGCCUGACGGAGCAACGCCGCGUGAGUGAUGAAGGUCUUCGGAUCGUAAAACUCUGUUAUUAGGGAAGAACAUAUGUGUAAGUAACUGUGCACGUCUUGACGGUACCUAAUCAGAAAGCCACGGCUAACUACGUG